AGGGACACGAUCCCCGCCGAUUAAAGGCUGCUCUUGAAACCCAGCGUUCGGCUGGGAUGAUUGCCGUUGUUAUUAUUCUUUAUCGCGGCCCAGAUCUGAAAGCAAUCUUUGGCUGAGGGCAGGGAAGGAGGCCGUGGGUUCUGGGAAAAUGAACGAAAGCAGCGCGCCGGAUCUUGUGCCAGAGUUGGGUUCCAGAAACAGCCGUGAUUGUAGGAAUGCAUGGCUAAAUAUUGGACAAACAGCUCCGUGGUGUUCACCAUGAGGAAAAUGCUGUCCGGGUUGAUGUUGGAGACCUCAGGCAAGCUCUUCAUGAUCACCUGGAUGUGAGACAGCAGCAGCGACACCAGCUGGCUUUCUUCGCCGCCACCGAUUCCACUAACCUUCCCGGACCAUCUCCCUCCCACAACCGUGUGGCUGUUCUGUAGCAUUCCGCAGAUUUAUACCAUUAAACUGUGGGAGGAGAAGGAGGAAGACACAUGCACUCAGCAGCACAUUCCCACUGAUGAAAUGCAAUAGAGGCAGUGAAAAAAGUCUCCUUUGCCAUCGCCAUCGCCACUUGGUAGGCUCAACGUUGAGCUCUAGCCCGUGUCCGGUCUGAUUCAGAGUGAGUUUUCCGCCACCGGCGCUCUAGCCGUCUCAGUGAUUGUUUCAUCACCCUCAGCUCCUGGGAAAACCACGGGGCUGUCCGGGCUCCAUGCAAUCGGGGAGGGCGCUUUGGAGCCAGACAGUCAAUAGCCCUGGUUAACUCCAUAUUCCAACGGGUCACCAGGGAAUCAGCUGAAAAGCCAUCAACAUGGGAUAAAGCAUCCCCUACCGCUCUCUGGAAGACAUUUGGAUCCAUUAAGUGGUGGGGGCGGACCAUCCGAAUUGGUCCUACCUCUCUGCAGAGGGGAAGGGUCGCAGAGAAGUCCAGUUGCACCAGGAAGUGACCUGACCAUGGCACUUCUUUUGUUUCACUUUUACUUAGUGUCAGAUCACCCCCAUCACUAGAGGUGAACACCAGGUCUAAGGCAAGUCCAUGACUAUGAGUUGGGCCAAACUUAUUCAAGGGCAGCCCCAUGGAAGCCAUGCUUUCCACAAAGUCCUGAGCGGCCCCUUGUAAGGUUGUGUUGGCAUGGAUGUUAAAAUCCCCUAGGACAUCCAAACUAGAUGUCUCCAGGAGAACAUCCGCUACAACCUGAAGCAGCUCAGGCAGGGAAUCCUUGGUGCAGCGGGGAGGUCGGUACACCAAAAGGAAUCCUGUACUGCCCCUAUUGCCCAACUUCCAAAACAUGCACUCAGAAAACUGGGUCUUCCCAAUAGGACGCCUGGUGCAAACUACUGCAAUGACUUCCUAAAAAUCACUGCAACC